UUGAUUUGGGAUUCGAUCGGUUACCGUGUCAAGUGUUGGACGGAAGUUGAAUUUCGUUGUACUUUUUCUGUGAAAUUAAGGUGCUGGAAAGUCCUUUUCCUUUUCCUAAUCCUACGGGUGUGCAUCUUCGAGUCUUCAGAUUUUUGAAAAAGAAACAUCUGGUUAAGAAAGUUUAGUUUAUGUUAUGUAAAUGCAUUUAGUUCAACCCAUUAGAAAUUUUAGCCCCUAAUUGGUACUAGUUGUCAGUGAAAAUUUUACAAUCGUUAUCUUUGAAAAUUUAGAUCAAUAAAUGGGAAACCCCAUGGAAAAUUAGGUUAAUUUGGGUUUCUAGUGCGAAUAAAGCGGAUCGAAAAAUUGUGGGCGUCAGAGAGAAAAUCUCCGCAGUUCGUCGUAACGCAGUUUAUCUCGAUAUUUCCAACAAUUUUUUUCCGUGACCAAACGAAAGUAGUUCAGUGAACAGUGAGAGGAAGAAAACUCUUAUCGUGAAAGAAAAUUCAUCUCUGAUCUCGUGUUACGUGACAUAGUUUUCCGAGUACAUAAAAGAUAUUGAAGAAAGUUUUAUUUGCUAUUGGAAUCAGAGACUUCAGUUGAAUUUGAAGAAUUAAUCGAAGAAAUAAGAAGUCAUCGUUACAGUGAACAUGUUUUCCGGAUUAACCAAUCAAGUCAGUUCGUGGAUUGGAGCUGCUAAAGGUGAACCACAGGAUGAGGAGGUGCCGACUCCCCCAAAUUCGGCAUCGACAGCAACAGCAACAGCAGCAGCAACGACAGCUCCAGUCGUGACCACGGAAGCUGCUGCGGCACCAACGGCCGAUGAAGGUGACAGAAGCCCAACGAAAAGCGGUGUGUUCUCAGGAGUAUCGUCUAAAGUGACAGGUUGGCUCGGAAAUGCAUCUAUGCCCUCAAUGCCAGCGAUGCCAUCCAUGCCAACGGUUUCAAUGCCAGCGAUGCCUGCCAUGCCUUCCAUGCCGUCGAUACCGGGGCUACGAAAGGGCAAUCAGACGGACGAAAAUGGAGGCAUUGCAAACGAAGGCCUAGCCACAUCACCGGAAAAGACGAAUCAAGGUAUUGCCGGAUCGACGGAUGCUGCCGACGAGGACGACCGGUCCAGGUAUAUUAGACCACAGGAAAGCGCCACAGGGGGAGCCGAUUCACCUUCCGCUACUGGCCCGGGAACACCGACAGAGGAAAAUGCCGGACAAAUUGGACAAGUCACACACAAAGUCACAGCUGGAGCCAAAUCGAUCGGAUCGUUCCUGUAUUCGUCGUUCAACAAAGCCGGUGAUAAAAUUAAACACUUGAAGGAUAAUACCAUUCUGGGUGAAUUCAAUAAAGAGCAGGAAGCUUUCAUUAAGAACCAGCAGGGUGCUGGCGGAGCUGGUGCAUGUCCUUGGGUAGGCCACGCAAAUGAGACAAAGAUUAAAGAAGAAAUCCUAAGUCUGUCAGCGGAUCGCCGGAACUUUGUUCGAGCUCCACCCGCAGGAGUCGAGUUUGAAUUUGAUUAUGACCAUUUGUAUCCUAUCGCGUUAGCCAUAAUGAACGAAGAUAAGGAACUAGAAAAGAUGCGAUUCGAGCUGGUACCCAAAAUCAUUACGGAGGAAAAUUUCUGGCGCAACUAUUUCUACCGUGUCUCACUGAUAUGCCAAGCAGGAGAUCUGGGCACCCUUGGCGACAGUAACGAGUUCGUCCGACGAGGAGUCAGCGAAGAUACUGAGGAUUAUCGUAUCCAGAAUGGACCGGUGUUAAGAAAUUGCUGUAACAUCCGAUUUCCAUAAUAUCGUUCCGACCACACUUCUUUCGGUAUAUGAAUGCUACACAAUUUGACAGCUAGAAGGCUAUUUAUCUAUACCUAAAGACGUAGUCACAAUAUUAACAGAUUAACUUAAAAAAUCAUAACGCCCGUACCAACAGGUGAUAAUGUUAUUAGCAAGCAGACAUUGCAAUAUUGAUGAGCACAUCUGAUGUACCCAACUCCAAACAAAAAGAAUUAAGAUGACUCCGUAACGUAAACCCAUCUUAGCAUUAUACAUGAGAAUCGAAUAGGAGAAUUGUUUCCAUACGCGAGCAUACGAACCAGCUCCGGUAUCAAAUUUUUCAUGAGUACCUCAACUUUAGUCAAGUUACACUUGUUGUGAGCCGGGCAAAUCUUGGUAUAUGGCUUUUUUUCAGACCGCGUUCAUUGUUUAACAAAUCAAGCAUAUUUUCAUUUUGGCCAAUUUUAGAACUAUAUAUGUUAAUGUUACUUAAUAUUUGCGGUAGACAAAUUUAUCAAUCAUAUUUCAACCCAGAAUUGUUUAAGCACUACCCAAUAUUGAGAUAGUGAAAUAUUUUACUCAAUAAGUGUACUUUUCUGUCUUGAUGUGAUUUUUCUCGUAACCUCAAGAUAAUGUUAAUCCCAAAAAAACAACACAAACAGAUUCCUCAUAAAAAUCCCUUCGUAAAAUUCUAGCUUAUCACUUGAAAAGGCAUCACUAUCAAACACCGUCUCUUAUUGCAACUGGUAGGAGAUAAAACACGAAACCCUUUAGUUCUAACUCAUAACCCACCGAGGCCAAAAUUCCUGCAAAAACUCGCUCUCCCAAUUAAUUGUGUAUUCCCCACGGUUUGCUCUGUUAUGAAACCUAGUGCUCAUGUCACUGCUUCAGUAUCAGUCAAUUCAAUUCGAAUUUAGCUUAUUAUUUUCCAUGGUGACACCUUUCCCUCCCACACAGAAUGCCAUCUCGAGUUGCUAAGCUACGAAACAGAAAGAUUAGGAAACUGUAAAAAACGACAUAUUUCGCGUUAAAACUUACGAAAGAUUAUCACAAAUAGCAGUAUUCAUAUAUAAUAGCAAACUGAAUAGAAGAGGAUGAAAUUACAGAUUUUUUCAAUGUUGUGCAUUUCGUUAAAUCUAUACAUCUUUGACGACAAAAUAGUAUAUACAAAAUCAUUAAACAAAGAACGCUAACUAAAUAUUCCAGGAGGUAGAAUGUUAAAAGUAAAAAUGGAAAUAUAACAAAAAUACAGAUAUCAUAAAUGUACUUAUUUAAAAGAAAGUGUUUAAUUCGUUGCAACUAAACAACAAAGAUGAGACAAACAAACUGUAAUGUAAGGGAAAUGACAAUACAAAACAACAUCGUUGCAAAUCAAGAGAAAUCAAAUCAAUAUUAUCCAUUCAGAGAUCGCGAAACACAUGACACUAGGUCGAACGAUAUCGAAGAAAUAACGAAUGGUACGAUGUUUGGGCAUUGGCUAGCGGAUGAUCGUAAAGAUGGCUAAACCUUAUAGAUCUUAUUUAUCAUGCUACAAGUGCAGAUUUGUUACCAAUUAUGCAUGUUUUACCCCAGUAUGACGCUGAUUCCAGGGUUCGUGCUGAAUUUUGGCACAUCCCACGACGCAAGCUUCUCGUGUAUAUUUCACAGUACCGCAAAUAUUCCGUUCUAUAGCAACCUUUCUGUCAUCCAGUUUUAUCCGAAUAAUAUAAUGCAAUAAUCUGUAUAGACAAAUAAAUUUUAAGGCAAUUAAAAAUAAGCUGUGAUUUAUUAAAAUUGACAACCACAAUGAAAAGAGUAUAUUAUCAAAGGAUCGGUUUGAUGAAAGUAGCAAACGUAAAACUUAUUUUAACCGAAGCAAAACAUUACAAAUCAAGGGUUAAUAGCAUUGUUUCAACUAAGCAAAAUGACACUCACUCAAACAACAUGUAAAUAUUCGCUAUUGUCCAAUUAGGACGACAGUACAGCACUAGGGACAAUGAAUCGAUUCUCACUGAUAUUGUUGAAUAAUUUUAUUUCAAUCGUGUAAUAUGCAAUUUCCACGUUUGUUUAAUGUGUUACAAGCAUCAUCUACGUGACGGUCUUCAUACUAUGUCACAUGUCAAAAUUGUCUGUUUGCGUGUUUCUUUAAACGUGACUGAUUAUACGAACAAUAUGUUGAUGAACGGCUUAGUUGAUUAUGUAACAAAAUAUAACUAGAUAUGGGUAGAUUAAAUAGUACAAUAAUAGUUGUCAAUACUACGAAUGCUUUACCGCAGGACAGUGCUUUAUAGCCACAGUAAGAAAAAAAAGAUUAUUAGGUCAACCAGAUUACGGGAAUCAUCUCUUAUGCGUUUAAUGCAACCUACAAUCCUGUUGAUUUUCGUUGUUUCCCAACCCACAAACCUAAGGUCUAUUUUAAAUACCAAAUUUACACUUUUCCGUUCAUCCCUUCCAUAAUACAAACAACCGAACCGAACACAAAUCAAACAAAUUUUGAUUCGUACAAACGACAACUACUAUAGAAGAGCAGUGGGAGAAGGACCUGGAAGCGGAACUGCAGGACUACGAAAUGGUUAACGAUGGCACCGAUCGCGCCAACUGGGAGAAGGAUGUCGAUGAGCUGCUAGACGACGAAACCGACUUGAAAUAAAACGAAUGUUUCAAUCAGUUGCUUUGUAAUGUGAUGAACUGUACUGUAAAUAAGUAAAUUAUGUUGAAAAUUUAUGAUAUUUAUUUGAUUUAAAAUUGAGUAUUUAAAGAAUCAUUUCGCUGAUACUUUGCAUUGAUUCCAUUGUAAAAAAGAUGCGAUGUACCUAAUAUUGAACAGAUUAUUUGUGUUUAUUUUUGGAAUGAAUAUAUCUGAAGGACACAUCAUUUUACAAAGUAAAUGAUACACGAUUAAUUGAAACAGCCUACCAACAGGUCUAUACUGGUAAAUGCGUACAUAUAAUCUACUAAAUAAUGUGCAAAACUAUGACAACUACAUUCUCUGUGUAAAAAUAGAACAUAUGUCCAUUUUCAAUGACGCAUUCUUCGUUACUCUAACGUUAUUCGUUGACAAGGAGCAUUACUUUGAACCUAACGGCUCACAUGCCACACGAAAACACUGAAAAAAGUCGCCAGUUCCUUCAGUUUAUUCACGUAAACACACCUAUUGAUACAAACUCGUCAGCACAGGAUGUCACGAGUAUAGAAUUGGUAAACAAAUAUUCAUCAAAAACAGCAAAUUUAAAAACCGUAAAAAGUACACUUACCUAGUCUAGAAUUAUCAAAGUACUUGGACUUGAAAGUUCAGUACAAAGAGAAUACCUACACAGAAACCCUUACGCGGACUGUAGCAUGGAUCGAACAGUUGUAAUAUAAAUCUUUAAAAAUUACAUGCAUCAAGAUAAUUUUACAAACUAAACGAAACGUAUUCCAGUUACUAUUUAUUGUACAAUUUCAAUAACCAAAUAGUUAGGCCUGUCACAUACGAUUUAGUUUUCAGUCUGUUCAGAUGUUUACCUACAGUUUAUUCAAUUCUAUAGGCAUUAAUAUUUUAUCCAGUAUCAGUUUCGACCCUGUUUUUUUUAAUUCCCCAAGUCAAUGUAAUGUUGACUUUGACACAUUUUCCACACAGGAUUUUUCAGCCACACCGAUCAUGAUAACUCUUCCAGUAAAUCUCGUUCCACUCAAAAGCAGCAUGUUUCGAUUGAUGGUUUACUAAAACAACGGUCAAACAAGUUUGCUCGAUUGAAUCAUCUUAAGAGGAUACAACACAAACACUUAUAUCAAAUACAAGAUAAAUCGCACAGAUUUAGAGAAGAAUACCGUGACAGACAGAAGCUAGCCUGGUCGUUUUUUCAACCUUACAUAAAUUUACCGGUUUGCAAAAAAGCGCAGAAAAAAAGAACACUUAGCAUUGGCUUGAAGCAGCAUUUUCGUUCCACUUAAGUCACUUUGAAAGUUAGGCAAAUCUGUUGAAGUACCUAAUCACAUCGGAGACAGGAAUGCUAACCACAACCCAAGUCCGAACCGUAUUUUAAACAUAUUUAGUUCUCUGUUUAUCUUUCAAUACUCAAAUCCGACGAAGAAGAGAAAAACGAAUAAUACAUUCUGUUCUGUAUUCACUUAACUGAAAAUAAGAUUGUUUAAUAUAUUAAAAUGAAAUAUAUACAUAUUACGAUAUACUACCGAAUAUUGAGCAUUACAUUAUGUGUAAGAAACCAGUAAUAACAGUAAAUAAACAAAACAGAGGGAUAUUGUGAACAUUACGAGAAA